AUUGAACGCUGGCGGCAGGCCUAACACAUGCCAGUCGAGCGGAUGAAGGGAGCUUGCUCCUGGAUUCAGCGGCGGACGGGUGAGUAAUGCCUAGGAAUCUGCCUGGUAGUGGGGGAUAACGUCCGGAAACGGGCGCUAAUACCGCAUACGUCCUGAGGGAGAAAGUGGGGGAUCUUCGGACCUCACGCUAUCAGAUGAGCCUAGGUCGGAUUAGCUAGUUGGUGGGGUAAAGGCCUACCAAGGCGACGAUCCGUAACUGGUCUGAGAGGAUGAUCAGUCAACGCGAGAAGGAGACAGGGGCAAGGUGCGGAGGGGUGGAAGAGUGAGGAAUUGAUGAAAGGGGGGGGAACGCCGGAGGCGGCCGGGCGGAGUGUUUGAGGAGGGUCUUGAGAUUGGAGAGCAGUGAAAGGGGGGAGGAAGGGCAGUAUUUUAAUCCUUUGUUGUUUGGACAUUAACAAAAGACGAAGCACCGGCUAACUUCGUGCCAUCUGCCGCGGUAAUAAUCGGAAGCGCACACGUCUGAAC
rnacentral:rRNA from 1 species